rnacentral:rRNA from 1 species
AUUGAACGCUGGCGGCAGGCCUAACACAUGCAAGUCGAGCGAACGGCGGACGGGUGAGGAAUGUAUGGGAAACUGCCUGAUGGAGGGGGGUAACUACUGGAAACGGUAGCUAAUACAGCAUACCAUCAGAUGUGCCAAGAUGGGAUUGGCUAGUCGGUGGGGUAACGGCUCACCUAGGCGACGAUCCCUAGCUGGUCUGAGAGGGGGACCAGCCACACUGGAACUGAGACACGGUCCAGACGCCUACGGGAGGCAGCAGUGGGGAAUAUUGCACAAUGGGCGCAAGCCUGAUGCAGCCAUGCCGCGUGUGUGAAGCAGGCCUUCGGGUUGUAAAGCACUUGCAGCGGGGAGGCGUUACCCGUAGAAGAAGCACCGGCUAACUCCGGGCCAGCAGCCGCGGUAAUAC